CUCUCUAAAGAAGGACUCCGUGAAGAAUUUGGAAGAGCAAGUGCCCCACUUCUACGUAUUCAUCUCUUCCCACUGAUGUGCGGUGCUCCCUCUGUAAUAAAUCAAGUGUCAGUGGACCCAACGAUGGCCUCGUGAUAAUUAGGAACCUGAGUGGCAGAGGAGAGUGGCAGAUGCUGACAGGGAAGAUGCAGGUUAUAGAGGAAAUUCACCCAAUCCAAGGGCAUGCAGACCUGGCUGACGCGGCUCUUUGGGCUUCAGAUUUACUGUUCAGUCCUGAUAGGAUCCUUGAGCAGUCACGCUAGGAGGAAAAGCAAGGGGAGAAUGGCAGGAGUGAGUCCAGGAGAGACGUGGAAGGGGGACGACCCUGCGGGACUUGCAGGCACAGAGGAGGAGAUUAGGACACAGACAUGCACAGACUGAGGGGCAACCAUAUGAGGACACAGCGAGCAAGUGGCCAUCUGCAAGCAAAGGAGAGAGGCCUCAAAGGAACUAAACCUGCUGACACCUUGAUCUUGAACUUCUACCCUCCAGAAUUAUGAGUAAUAAAUUUCUGUUGUUUAAGCCACCCACUCUGUGGUAUUUUGUUACGGCAGCUCUGGAAAACUAAGAUAACCACUCUUAGGGGAAAACAAUUUAUGUGCUUUGUUAUUCAAGUAGGAUAAUUUUAACACUGAUGACUUCUACCUUGAGAUUAUAAAAGGCAGUGAAAAACAUUAUGAUAGAGUGUAUGAAUUGUGUCCUUUGAAACAAAGCUAGUUAAUAAACACUUCUCAGCCGUAGGUGAUGCUGUGUGUCUCUCUGGACAGCAAGGGGAUAGGAGUGGAUGGGAGAACCUGCCUUCACACAAGCAGUUUCCUGGGUUGCCCUGAGCCUGACAAAGAGGGCUACAGCUUGGGCACUAGGAAGGCAGCAGCCACACAAGGCCUGGGGAGCCCAUAACUAAAUCGUGAAGGAAGAAUAUUAUUAGCCAGGCCCAGAUGCAUCAUUUCCUCCCUUCACUGCUCUUUUGUGAAAAAUUCUUCCAAAUACAUAUAUUUGUCCCCAAAUGUAGUGUUGGGUACUUUCCCUACUAGAAAGUUAGUGGAAAAUUUGUUUUUUAUCAAAUUUUUUCUUCAUCUCUUUUGGGUGAACUUUCAUGGUUGCAAAGUCACUCAGGAAAAAGUUCAUUUUCCCAAUACUUCCUCUGCACCUGUGACCCCCAAAAUUUUGUCUGACCUACAAUUUCAGGGAACUCAUCACCCAAGUGAACAGGUGCUUGAAUGUGACAUGAUGCUCUCGCGUCUUCUCUGUGGUCUUCCUGUGAAUUGUGGUCACCUCGCAGCGUUAAAGCAUCUCCAUGAGAAGCCCUGCAGGGGCUAUUCUCAGUUCUGGGUGUACUGUCUCCUGCUGGUUUCUCUGAAGUGCCGAGAAGCUGUCCUCUCUAUGCAAAAAACUGUUCUCACAAACUGCAUUUCAAUGAUUUGGCUUUAAUUCUCAAUUUGUUUCUGUUCCUAAGCUUUUAAGGCUUUUUACCAACCCAUAAGAAACAUCUUUGAAAAAAGAUAAUCCUCAGAUGUAACAUGCUAAGCUUUGACCUAGUAAGUCUUUAAGACUGAUGUUUUCCGAGGAACAAACCUUCUUCUUUGCUGUGCAAUAAUAGAGGAUCAAUAUAAAAAUAAGUACACAAAGUGAAAAAACCAACAAAAGUAUUGGUAUCUUCACAGCUAAAUUCUUAACAUAUUUUCUGAUAUAUAGGAAAAAGGAAAAUUGGCAAAUAUUUUAAAUAAGUACCAAUAUUUUAAAAAAUAAC